CGGUGUUCAACUGGCGUGUCCGCGGGACGUCCUGCCGGUGGGCUUAGCCCGCAAGGGCGGCCCAACUUCAAAUCCCAUCGCGGUGCUCUUCACUGAGUGUCGAGGUGGGCCGGCACGUUUACUUUGAACAAAUUAGAGUGCUUAAAGCAGGCUAAAACUUCGCCUGAAUACUGUGUGCAUGGAAUAAUGGAAUAGGACCUCGGUUCUAUUUUGUUGGUUUUCGGAACCCCGAGGUAAUGAUUAAUAGGAACGGAUGGGGGCAUUCGUAUUGCGACGUUAGAGGUGAAAUUCUUGGAUCGUCGCAAGACGGACAGAAGCGAAAGCAUUUGCCAAAAACGCUUUUAUUGAUCAAGAACGAAAGUUAGAGGUUCGAAGGCGAUCAGAUACCGCCCUAGUUCUAACCAUAAACGAUGCCAGCUAGCGAUCCGUCGACGUUCCUCCGAUGACUCGACGGGCAGCUUCCGGGAAACCAAAGCUUUUGGGUUCCGGGGGAAGUAUGGUUGCAAAGCUGAAACUUAAAGGAAUUGACGGAAGGGCACCACCAGGAGUGGAGCCUGCGGCUUAAUUUGACUCAACACGGGAAACCUCACCAGGCCCGGACACCGGAAGGAUUGACAGAUUGAGAGCUCUUUCUUGAUUCGGUGGGUGGUGGUGCAUGGCCGUUCUUAGUUGGUGGAGCGAUUUGUCUGGUUAAUUCCGAUAACGAACGAGACUCUAGCCUGCUAACUAGGCGUAUUUUCGACAUCUCAAAGGUCCGUCGUCCCGGCCCUCGGGUCGUGGGCGUGCGCGAUUUUUACUGUCGGCGUACUAUCAAUUCUUCUUAGAGGGACAGGUGGCUUCUAGCCGCACGAGAUUGAGCAAUAACAGGUCUGUGAUG
rnacentral:rRNA from 1 species